GCCGGGAUGGCGGAACGGGUAGACGCAAGGGACUUAAAAUCCCUCGGGGGGCAACCCCCGUGCCGGUUCGAGUCCGGCUCCCGGCACCA
rnacentral:tRNA from 1 species